AACACAGGUCUGGAUCACAUGAUCCUACAAUCAUGACCUGACCCAAAAUCAAGAGUCUGAUGCUCAGCUGACUGAGCCACCCAGGUGCUCAAUAGUCUCUUUCUCUCUGAAUGCUGAAUAGUAAAUUUUCAACGUGAAUGGGGGGAUAAACAGGCAUACAUACAUACAUACAUACACCACUAAGAAAGCCAUGAGUUGUUAGACAUGAACUAUUUUCCAUCAUCUUUGUCUUCUAGUUAUAUUCAUGCCUCAAGGUGUUUGUUGAUUGCAAUGCACGAUCUUGUUGUGUGAGGUACAAAUUGUUGUGUGAUCAGUUUUCCGUGAAAGUCUUUCCUCAUAUCUGUCUUAACCACAAGAUGCAAAUGUUGAAUUUGAGGAUGUAGAGCUAAGAGCCUUGAGGUCCAAUAACUGUCAACUAGAAGUUAUAUUUUCUGUUGGAGAGAAAUCCCCAUAUGAUGGCAAUGACUUUGCAUUGGUAAGGGAAAGAAUACUUUCAUGCCUUCAUGGUUCUUGCACUUUUUCUGUCUCACCAAAAUCAAGACUCAGGUCAUGUGCACGUUUAUCAAGAAAACACCUUUUUUUUCCAGAAAAUAAAAAUGCCCUGGAAGACAAGUGUAAUGCAUUUGAGGCCUGUGAAAGCCACAAAAGAAGCAAAAGUCAAACAGCUGAAGGAGAAAGCACAUAACCUGGAAUAAUUCUAUGAACAAAUAAAAGUGCCUACAAAAAAGAAGCUGAAAAUGACACUGUGAACCGGCGGCAAAGAAGAAUCAGCUGGCAGCUGCAGGCAACAAAUUGAACAAACACGGGAACAGUAACCUGAGUUCUGCCUGACAUACUGAACCCUUAGCACCUCACGCGGGUGAGUGUAGUGGCCCUUGGAAUCCCUAACCACGGGCUUUUCAUUGUUGGCUUUUUCAGCUCGCAGUUCAUGAGAAGAAUGCUCAGGACAACUAGGUAAGUGUUUUCUUGUUUCCUCCUCUUUCUUUGGUGCGCAGUCUGGCACCACCUUCCGACUGAAAGUGGAUGUGUUUUUUCUCCCCCAGAUCAAGACUCAGAUCUGGGACAGGGAGAUGGUGGAGCAGGACAGGGAGGUCGCUUACUUGAAAUACAGACUGAACGGGAUGGAAGCAAAGAGGCUGCCUGAGGGAUACACAAGGCAGAAACCAAUCACUGCAAGAACUCUCCAAAGAGAGGGCAGUCUGGAUCCUGGGGACCUCCUCCAUUAACUGGACGAUUCUGCAUGCCCUACCCUGGAGACGCCCCGCCCCCAUGGACUAUUAGGCACGUCCACCUCUUGAACCUUGGUGGCCCUGAGGCCACCUGGAACCCCUCCACCUGCAACACUUGGCUAUUUUGUAUGCAAGAGUCCUGGUCCUUUCCCAGGAUUGCCUUGCAGGCUGUACCCCAUGGGCCACCUUUCACCACCAUUCAUGGGCUAUAGGCCACAUCCCCCUCCUCCACCUACUCUAUUCGUUAAGAUGACCUGAACUGGAUGAGUGGCUGGACAACUCUUUUGAAAUUUGAAGAGGACUGUGCACGGUGACAGACUAUGGUGAUUAUAUAUACAUUUUAAGAAGGUGGCAGAUCUACCUGAAUGCUUUCUCUGCCCAUCAUGUCCCCUCCACUUUGUCCUUCCUACUAUCCCCUAAUCUACCUUUCAUCAUUUUGUCUCUGUGUCAGCGUCUGCUUCUAGGGCCAUCUACUCUCACUCCCCAUUGAGUGCACACAGUGGGGUUCCUGUACACACAGGUAACAAAGUGCCAGAAAUGGUGGUGAUGGAGGAUAGAAGCAAGAUCACCCUUUCUGCAGGGGAGCCUGAGGGAGUUUUCCGGGGUGAUGGGAACUUCCUAUAUCUAGAUUGAUGGGGUGCUUAUGCUCAAUUAUUUUGGAAAUAUUCCCUGACUCCGUGGUGCCUUGGGGUCAGACAGGUAUCUGUCCUUAGGAAAUGGCUGAGUUCUAAUGGUGGAGAAGGAUGAGGGACCAGCAGUGACUGUGGUAGAGGAGUAAGGGUCAGACCCACGCCCAGGAUGCCAGGUCUCCACAGACAGCACCACAUGUAGGAGGACUCUGAGGAGCAGAGAUUUCUUGAUCAGACCCAUGAACUACAUAAUCCUCCUGUAGUUUCCUCACUGAGCGAUAGCAGAGCAGAGACCAGCAGCUGGAGGACACCCUUAUCAUGGCUGGAAUGGAGCAGUGGGCCUGGGGGAUUGAGUCAGGGAAAGGGACAGGCAGAAGGUAGUGACAGGGAGUUUGAGAGACAAAUGGAAGAGAAGAGAAGGGACCCUUCUCUGCUGACUUCACCUACAUUUCUGUGUGACCAAAACGAGACCCUUGUCUCCCAGGGAAGGGAAGAGGGCUGGCAAAACACCGAGUGACAUACUCAGCUCAAGUGCCCAGGGUAUCUGCCUUGCUCUUGAGUACCUAACACAGGAAGCACAUGAUUUCUGUCAUGAUUGGAACUGCAGCUCUUACCAUUUAGUGAAAAUCAAUCCAAUUAUGCAUCCCUCAGCAUUAAAGUACUGCAACAAAAUUAAGUGAACAGACUGAAAGAUAUAACACAGGAUAAAGUCCAAAGGUAGACUGACUGCAAUACUUACAGGAAUACAGUCUAUCCAAAAAGGAGGUAGGUACCCUAGUGCAGGCAUUCAGACACCUGGGCAAUAUCUGAAAAC